GAGUUUGAUCCUGGCUCAGAUUGAACGCUGGCGGCAGGCCUAACACAUGCAAGUCGGGCGGUAGAGAGAAGCUUGCUUCUCUUGAGAGCGGCGGACGGGUGAGUAAUGCCUAGGAAUCUGCCUGGUAGUGGGGGGGUAACGCUCGGAAACGGACGCUAAUACCGCAUACGUCCUACGGGAGAAAGCAGGGGACCUUCGGGCCUUGCGCUAUCAGAUGAGCCUAGGUCGGAUUAGCUAGUUGGUGAGGUAAUGGCUCACCAAGGCGACGAUCCGUAACUGGUCUGAGAGGAUGAUCAGUCACACUGGAACUGAGACACGGUCCAGACUCCUACGGGAGGCAGCAGUGGGGAAUAUUGGACAAUGGGCGAAAGCCUGAUCCAGCCAUGCCGCGUGUGUGAAGAAGGUCUUCGGAUUGUAAAGCACUUUAAGUUGGGAGGAAGGGCAGUAAAUUAAUACUUUGCUGUUUGACGUUACCGACAGAAUAAGCACCGGCUAACUCUGUGCCAGCAGCCG
rnacentral:rRNA from 1 species